CUCAACUGUCCUCGAGUGAGGUACAAUAUCAGUUUGGGGAAAAUUUGAU
rnacentral:pre_miRNA from 1 species